rnacentral:rRNA from 1 species
CAGUCGCCGCGGUAAUACGAGGGGGGCAAGCGUUGUUCGGAAUUAUUGGGCGUAAAGGGUGCGUAGGCGGUUUGGCAAGUUUGGUGUGAAAUCUUCGGGCUCAACUCGAAGUCUGCAUCGAAAACUGCCGGGCUUGAGUAUGGGAGAGGUGAGUGGAAUUUCCGGUGUAGCGGUGAAAUGCGUAGAUAUCGGAAGGAACACCUGUGGCGAAAGCGGCUCACUGGACCAUAACUGACGCUGAGGCACGAAAGCUAGGGGAGCAAACAGGAUUAGAUACCCCUGUAGUCCCUGUCUCUUAUAA